AGGACGAACGCUGGCGGCGUGCUUAACACAUGCAAGUCGAGGGAGUCCAGACCUUCGGGUCUGAGGCGACCGGCGGACGGGUGAGUAACACGUAAGUGAUCUAUCCUCAUGCGGGGGACAACCCGGGGAAACCCGAGCUAAUACCGCAUGGACGGACUGGCUGCAUGGCCGGACCGGGAAAGGUGGCCUCUUCUUGAAAGCUACCGCGUGGGGAGGAGCUUGCGGGCUAUCAGCUAGUUGGUGCGGUAACGGCGCACCAAGGCAACGACGGCUAGGGGGUCUGAGAGGACCGACCCCCACAUUGGGACUGAGACACGGCCCAGACUCCUACGGGAGGCAGCAGUGGGGAAUA
rnacentral:rRNA from 1 species